UNCCUGUAGUCUCAGCUGGGGUCAAAGG
rnacentral:piRNA from 1 species